CCACGCAGUGCCUCUGGUUCCGCACGUGCUAUGUACUCAAAUGAUUCUGCCAACAACUGAGACCUAUCAAUAAGCAUCUCAUGCAGCUCCUCAUAGUCUUCCUUUACAUCGGGAAACAUCAUCAUGACCAGAAACUUCCUGGAAUCAAAAGUAGUCACGUCCUUAUGCUCAAGAAGCCACCUAUUAUCAUCACUUCUCCUUGCAUAUCUAAGAAUCAGAUCACCCAAUGGUGAUUUUCUAUUCCUCAGAAGUUUCCAGAACUCUUCUUCAGCGCCCUGAAAGAGUUUAGAUGUGGCAUGUAAUUCUCUCAAAAUCGUCAGAUACUGCGACCAUCCAGAAUAAUUAAUUUCACCUUCCCCAUUUGCUCUUGCAAUCACGCGUUCCUGCACUCUAACAAGGCAUUUAUCCAUUUUUAUCAACAAAUCACAGAACAUUCCAUAAAUAGAAUCCAGCUGAUCCCCAUGCAACCGAUCAUGUUCCUGCUGCGGCAAAGGCAUUGUAAUCGGAAUGGAAAACCCCACUUGACCCAAAAUCGCCCUGCGCAGAGGGUGCAAGAAGGCGGUAAAAUCACGAACAUCGCUGACCAAUGGCCCCACGCUCAGCACCAUCUCCAUACUGGAAUUCAAAUCCCUAGAUAUCCUACCAGCCAACUCACGAACAAAAGGAAAUAUCUCCCGUAUCACAUCCAAACCCCUAAUCUCAUCAUAUUUGGAGCCUCCUGGCAAAAUGCCAGAGCCACCAUAAUUCUCCAGCAAGGAACCCAAAGUACUCCGGCAAGCUAAAUAUAAAGUGUCCUCGGGGGUAAACUUCCUAAGCAGUUUACAAAACUCUAAGACGAUGGGGGCGCACUGAGCAUGCAAGUGCUUAGGUAAAGCGUUUUUAGUGGAGUUCAAAAAAUGUCUAAUUGAACUAUCAGCGCAAUCUUUGUUACCAUGGAGAGAAGAAAUGUAGAGCAUUACCAAAGCCGCGGGAGCGGAUGAUGACAUGAGAAUUUGGAUGUGAUCAAGUGCAGAUUCAGAUUCAACUUCAUCUUUAGGAGUCAUGGUAAAAAACUCAGUCAUUCUAGAUUUGAUGUGUUUUAAAGAAUGAGGUAGCGUUUCACCUUUGCAUAAGCGGCAAAUAAGGGAAACCAUGUCGUCAAUGACUUGCCAGGCCUGAGGAUGUCCCGUGCUUCGCAUGCGGCCAACCAGUUGUAGGCCGGCGUCGUUUUGGAUGCAACACUCAGCUAAGGACUGUUCCCACUGUAACUGCUUCCCCCGGUAAAUUAACCGUUGCUCGAUCAACGGUAUCCCCGUCAUCGCUUGGAUUCUUUCAUGGAUUGACUUGACGGUGUCGUUCGAGUCGGCUUGGAUGACCAUCGUCUUCCCCUCAGACAUCAUGCGUAUAAAAAACUGGAGCCUUGGCCGAGGAGGAGGAGGAGCAGCGGCAGCGGCAGGAGGAGUAAUUUCUGAGAGUACGGCGUCGUUUUUUGUCAUCAAGUCUGACGACUGCUGGUGGUGGACGGCGUCAGGUUCGUCUUUCCGCAUUCUUACAGAAACAAGGUCAGAUGUUUCUGCGCCGUCGUCAUCGUCGCCGUCUAAGUUAGGGGCAAAAUCGUCCAACUUACGUUUCGGACGCGAGUGAACGGAGAAGUGAGAGUGAUCAAACGAUUCAACAGGAGACAUUGAAGAGUGGGGCCCCCGCCGCUUACGGUGGGGGUAAGAGCAUGUGAUCGUUAAAUGCCGCGGCAGCAGCUGAAGGAGAAGAUAACUAUUAAAUUGAAAACCCAAAAAUAGAAAUUAGAAAAACAAGAACCCUAGCAGCUAAUAAGUAGUAAAGCAGUUUUCAUUUUUAUUUUUUUAUUUUUUUGGCUCGGUCAGUGAGUCUGUAUCAGUCUUUGUGUAUAUAGUAAAUUUGAGGAAAAAAAAAGAAAAAGAAAAAAGAAAAUAGAUGGUAUUAUGAUUUGUUUGUUCUUGAUGAACACGAAGAGCGAUUGCGAGUGAAAUUGAUGAGAAUUUUUAGCUGUGAGACUUACACAUACCCCUUCACAACACCACAGCCGUCACCACCGAACACUGGCAUCUUACGCUAUUAUAAAUAUUUUAUUCCAAUUUUUAUAACUAAAUUAAACCCCAAAAAAAAUAAAAAAUAAAAAAAGUUUACAGCCCUCAGCCCUGCUUCUGUGUGCGCGCUCACAUCACAUGAGAUUCUCGUGACACUCCCACGCCAUGCAUUUUAACCACGUGUUUGAAAUCGCGUUUAUGGGGAAAAGAUUUAUGGGAGAUUCCUUCUUUAUUAGCCGGAUCAUCAAUCGAUUUUAAUUAAACAAACAUUCUAAACCUGCUCCUUAAGUUUCCUUAAUUAAAGGAUGAGCGCUUAACUUCUAUUGAUUUUAUUAUUUUAGAAGAAAUUACUACCUUUUUUUUUUUAAUGAGUUAUUAAACCAAAGAAAUAUAAUAAAAAAAAUUCAAAACUUUUUAGUGAAUUGUCACAACUUUUAAUCUAAUCAAUUAUUAUAUUUAAGGCUAUAAGUCUAGUGUGACUCUUAAUUUACAUAUUUUUUUUUCUCUCUACAUGAAAACGGAAAAAGGAAAAAAAAAAAAAAACUGUAAGCUGUUACGGUUUUGAAGUAAAAUAUAAUAUGUUCAUAGUUGAAAUGUUCAAACCAUGAGGAAACUCAAACUAAUGUCAAUAUCUUUCAUCUUCUAUGGAGUACUCUAUCAUAUGGCAUCGGAAUGAGUCCUAAACGAAUUUAUGUUUGUAAAUUCUUUUUAUUUUUGUAGCAAAUCGAAUUAUAUUUGAAAAGGGGAUUGUUCUGGGAUGUUAUCCGAUAGCGUGAAAAGGAUUAUCGUGUAACAUCAGAUCGACAGCUUUGCAAGUCAACUCACAACUCACAAACAAUUGGCCAAUUUCUAUUUGGAAACUUUUAUGCCUUUUCUGCGUUACUUACUAUUCUAGUUCCCAAAUUGAGUCAUGAUGAUGGCUAUAUAUUAAUACGAUCAUCGAUCGAUGUUGAUGAAAUCUUGAUUGAUGAUUUCGGCCCCGUAAUUUAUUACAGCUGAGUCAGUCAACUGACAAUGAAUGAAAUUGUCGAUGGAUGAUUGACGACCUAUAUUAUAUGCAUUUGCUUUUAAUUUUUAUGUAUGGGAAAAUCCAAAUCCAACCACGCGCGUGACGCGUGCCGCGUGCCAAUAUUUCGGUUCAUUUUCCGUAAAUAUCCGCCGACUUUUGUACAUUUACAUAGUAGUAGUAAUUAAUAAAGGCGGGAUAAAAUUACGAUUAAAACUUUUAAUCGGUUGUUUACACCACGGAUCGAUUAGAUAGAUUAAUUAAUUGGAUUUUUCAGAUAUGCGAUUUAUAUUAAUGCUUGCUUAUCCGUUCAGUUGGUUUUCGGUGAGUGACUAUCCUUCAUUGACAUUCCAUUCCCAUGUAAGUACUCAAAACAACAAACAAACUGUCAAUUUUUUAAUAGAGCAGACAAAUGGGCCGGUAUGUGAUUAGCUCGGCCCUUAUCUGGGGCCCUACGUACUUAGGCCCGCAACCUAAGAAUUUAAAACACAAGGAGAAGCUGAAGCAGAAGAUGGCGGCUUUUCAUUUCAGUUGUGAUUUUCUGAGAGGUGUAUUUAAGCAACACUACAGUGAGUGAAUCAUUGAUGACGAAAUUAGAGCGGCGUCACUCACGAAGAUAUAACGGUAUAUAAAGCCCGGGUCAAAGCCCCGAAAAAUUAGUAAAACGACGCCGUUUCGACAGUAACAAUUCUUUUCCUUUUCCUUUGCCUGUCUCUUUCAUCUGCUGUUUCUCUAUCACUUUUCAUUUUUGGUUUCCUUACUUCCCAGUUGUCCCUUAACUGUUAUUCUAACAAUAUACUUUCUCAUAUUUGAAUUUUCAUCAUUGAGUACUUUUACAGCCAUAAUUUUAUCAUUGUAGACUUCACUUGGAAUGCUGUCUUUUUUCCAUUCUUGAACUACUUCAAUUACAUCUUCCAGUAUAUGAUCCUCAUCUUCCUGUAUUUCAUCAUCUUAUGAGGUAACAAAUGGAUUCCACAACUCAUCUACUUUUAAGCAAUAACAUAUUAUACCUUGGUCAAAGAUCUUAUCCCCUUAAAAAGAUGAGCUUCAACAUACAAAACGAAACAUAUAUGUUUAAUAUCAAAUUUAAACCCUUCAAUCACUGCCACAAACCCAUAUCACAAAAUUCACGGAUAAUGAUAAAGAGCCAAAAAAUUUAAAAAUCUCUAUAGAUCACACAUCAACCAAGAUAUCAUGUUUUUUUUCCUCAUUCGGUGGUGAUUGAUUAUCAUUGUGUUGAUGGAUAUGGUAUAAAAUUUUUGACCAAAUUUCAAACAAACACAAACACAAUCAAGACUAGAGUUGUGGGUGAUUAUCUCCGGUGUACAAAUGAAACGAUGGUGGCUGUCGGUGGUGGCAGUGGGGUGGUUGGGUAUGCGUGAAGGCUUGAUUUGAGGACACUAAUGGCUGGAGUUGACCUCAAUCAACGAAGGAAAGGGAAAACAAUUUUGGCAUCAAACGGUGCGUUUUUUUACUUAGUAAAACGGAGCCGUUUUAAAUUCGGGGUUUGACCCGGGAUUUAACUCGGGUCAAGUAGCAUUUUGCUAAAGUCAAUAUAUAUAUAUAUAUGUAUCAUCAUCGUUAUUUGUGCUUUGUUUAUUAUUAUCAACAGAAACAAACAACUGAAGAAAUUUAAUUCAAAAACUUAAAUUUACUAGCAAUAUUACUUACUAAGUAGCAACGACGGGAGAAUAUUAUUACGGUGAAACCAAGCUUUCAACAAAGGUGGUAACAGAAAACCAUCUUGGGGCUCUUUGGAUUUUGAAAUCCGUAGCAAUCUCAUUCUCAAAAUCAUACAAAAUCAACUCACCAUCCCCCUUCUCAAUGAGAAGAAAAUUCUUGCCAUUGCCAUUACUCGAAUUCAUCAUCUCACAGACAGGCUUCAAGUGCACAAAAGCAUAAUUAUCAAAAUUAAUCAAAGCUCGACGUCCGAUCACAAACAUCCUCGUCCAAGACUCCCUCGCACCAAAAUCCUUCAUCGUCCAAAUCUCAACUCUAUCCUCUCUCCACAUAUGAAACAUGGCAAAUUCUCCGCGAAACACACCCACUUCAAUCUGACACUUGUCAUGAGAAUCCUUGUAUUCCGGGCGGUGAAUCUCCUUGAACUCUUCUCUGUUCAUGUCAAAAGCAACAACGAGAACAGUCAUCCCUCUUCCGAGCCCUCGAGACGCUUUCCAUAUAAGACAUUCAUUGAAGCACACCGCAGCUCGAGAGCUGAUAUGAUAUGGGAUGCCUCCAUUAAUCUUCUUCCAUUUAUCGCUAGCCAGAGAAUAAACCCUAGCUUCGCAUUCAUAGGAGUCGAUGUCAACAAAAGGCUUGUCAUAAAGGUAGAUGGAUCUUAUCACCUUGUAAUCAUCAUCUGCUUGAUGGUAACCAAACCCCAAUGAAGUGAAACAUGUAGUUUCAAUUGUGGGAACAUCAAAUUCUGGCACUGGAAGCUUUUUGUACUUUCUUGUUGAGGGAUUGAAAAGAAAUAUAUCUUCAUUGCAUCUUUGAUCGGAGAUGCAAAGCAGGCCAUUGCAAGAACCUGAAAUCUCAACUUUUUCGAGAGACAAGGCGAAGGGUACUUGGAGUUUUCGAGCUCUGAUUAAUUUUUUAUCAUUGAUUAUCUCGACACCAAAAAGCUUGAAUUCAUUCUUCAGGAUGAGUUUUGGGUCGGACUGAUGAAUUGCUCUGUUGACAUGUUUCUUAAUGAAUAUUUUAUUGUGAACAAGUGCAUACAUGGAUUUUGACACACAUUUGAAUCGAAUAAGAGACUUGACGGGGAGUCUAGUGAAGAUAUCGAUGAUUAUAUCGGUAGGUAAAUUAGCUGAGACAUGAGGGAAAGUUGAAAGAUUGGUGGUUAUAGCACUCGACAGGCUACCCAUUUCGGUGUUUCUUUAAUUUUGCUGCAAGCCAUUUCUCAUCGGAAACUAUAUACAUAUAUACAGGCAAUUAGAGUUUUGGGCUGUACAAUACUAAUGAGAAAUGUACAGGUGGCUUUUGGUGUAUAUUUAAUUGAAAAUCUGGGAUAUAUACAAUGAAAUGAAGAAUAUCUAGAAAGAUUUGGUUACGGUGAAUCCAAGAUUUAAUGUCAUUAAUGCGGGUAGUGACAGUUAUCCACUAGAAAGCAAUGAUUGGGAGUCCCUCCUUUCCACUCUCUUUUAAGUUUUACCAUUUUAACAAUCUUUUUUUGUUUACUUAGUCUGUUUUACAAAUCUUGAUUUUAAUGAUAACCAAUAAUGUGGUAAGGAUAAUAUAGAAAAAUCACUUUUGAAACUCAUUAGUUAUUGAAAAUAAAAAAAAUCAUUCAUGUGAGAUCAACCGCAAAAAAUUUAUAGAUAUAUUCAUCAAGUUGAGACUCAAAUGUGAAAAAUAUUAGUUUAAAUAAUGUUUCAUUUUUAUAAUCCUCGAAAAGUUAGUUUGUUGGAUUUAUUCAUGGUCAUGCAUUUGAAAGCUCAAACUUGUUAUGAUCAUGACAUUCAAAUUAAUAUUUGUUCCCACGAAGUAUGUUUCCUGUACUUGAAGAAAAAUAGAAACUAAAUGUUUUAUAAAAUUGAAUUUCUUCUAAGUAUAUGUGUUGAUUAAUUUGAAAAAGUGUUGAAAAGUUUUGAAGCAUCAAAAAAUAUGGAAAGUUUAUUUAAUCUUAAUGCUAUUUUUGAAACUAUGGAAAAGGACCCAUUUGAUAAUAUUUUAAAACUUUUUAAGUACUUUAAUAAUCAUAAAAAAUUAGGUCAAAUCAAUAUUAAGAAAAGCCGAAAGCGGCUGGCCACUUAUAGAAAGUGGUAGUUAACUAGUUUGCUUUCCAAAGGCAAAGUUGUGAGUCUGUUUGGACAAAGUGGCUAGUUGAUUUGCUUAAAAGUCCCCAACAAUAAUAUGCCAUGUUAGGAAAGUGGCUAGCCGGGCUAAAUCGGCUAGCUGAUUUCGUGUUGAUUUUGAGUCUUAUGUCUUUAAUGGUUAGUUUUCUGAAAUUUUUAUGUAAACCCAACUUGAAAUCUUAUUCUAAAGUUGGUGUGAUCUAAAACUUGAUAUUUCUAAAUACUUUUGAACUCUCACCUACUUAUCUAUAUAAAUUCAUAUAUACUUGAGGCAUCACUUAUUUUAAGGUAUCACUUAUUUAUAUACUCUCAGAAGUGUUCUUUAUAAACUUUAUUGUAAUCUUUUAAUUAAUUGUAAUUGUGGGAAAUAUUUGGAUGAAGAGGUGCUGAAUCAUUAAGUUUGUAUUAUUUGAAAGCAUGAAUAUAGGCGAGUUUACAGAAUUACGUAAAAAUAUGUGCUUGUUUCCUCUACCCUUAUCUAUUUAGUUCACUUGUUAUGUUUGUUGUUAUUAGAUUUUGGCACUUAGCGUCGUCGAUUAUGGUUUUUAUUGUUGAUAAAAUUUUAAAACUUAAUUCACCCUCCUUUGAGGUUGUUUAGCUAAAAUUUCAUUUUUUUUUCUCAAUUAGUAAAUAUUUUGUUGUUUCAUUAUUUAAUUCAUGUUUUAAGCCUCUUCGUGUGUGUACGGUAUUUUUUCUUUUCACCCCUUGGAGCAGAUAUUUGGUAAACUUCAAUAGCUCCCGACAAGCAUUAAACCAAACAUUAAGGUCGUGACAAGACUUCUUAUAAUGGAUUUAGUCGUACUAAAGAAAAUCACAGUCUACUUUAAAUGGUGUGUUUGGUAUUCCUCAUAAUAUGAGCCUGCAUUGCAUCAUGCAAUUGAAUCUCAUGUCUGGCUGCACCAAUUUACUGCAUUAUUUAUUUUUUAUAUUAUAAUAAAUAAAAGUAAAUUUUAUAAUUUGAUAUUAUAUUAUGAUAUAAUGGUAUAUGAUAUUAAUUUUUAUUUCUUUUAUUUUUAGAUUAUAAUAAUUAGUAUAAAUUAAUAAAUGAAAAAUUGACUUUUUUUAAUAAGUUAAUAUAACGAAUAAUAAAUACUUAAGUAUUAAUAAAUUUAAAUAAUAUUAACUUAAAAGUUAAUAGUAAUAUACAUAGUGAUAUAAAAUAUUAUUUCAUAUACUACAAUCCAUAUUGCACCAAACAUGAUAUUACGUUAUAGCUUAAUACACUCUAAUGAAAUAAACCAUAAUAUAAUUAAUAUUAUGGUUUUCUUUUAAGUUAAUAUAGCUUAAUACAGGAUUUUACAUGCACAUGUACAGAGAUGUUAAUCUGUAGCCAUGCCAACUAUAGAGAACCAAUUUAGUAAUAAUUCUGAUUUCUUCAAUUGACUAUAUACACAAAACAUGUUGGAUUGACUUAAUAUAACACUACCAGCCUCGAGGUUUGAUCUAAUGAGACGUACCCUCUGUUAACAACACAUUCUAAAGUUUCUAGUAGCUGACACAGAGAUUCAAAUUUACCCUCACUCUUCAAAACCCUGAUCACCAUUCCCUCCUCACCUCUAUUCUAAUCUGUGCUGCCCCCAUAAUUUUUGUUCACCAUCCAUCUUUACCACAACAUCUAUAAUCAGAGUCUACAUUAAUCGUAACAAUUAGUUCGGUCAAGCCUAUUAAUCACAACAGCGAUUACCCACCGUGCCCCUUCCACCAUUACCCACUGUCAGAUCUCCAUUAACAAGCCCCCCUUCCACCACCUUCGCCCUUCUUCCCUCCCCCCCCAACUUAUUUUACUCCCAAAAAGAAGAUAAAGAAGAAGAAGAAGAAAAUAGAAAAAUACCAAUAUUUUUUACUCUUAUCCUCUCUAAUCUUGUAACCCACAGCACGAUUAAUACUUAAUUAAAAUUGGUGGCCAUGGUUAACUUAGUUGAUAUGACGAGAGAGAUAACUAGUUAUGAACAUGAUCAAAGAGUUCCAUGAUUUAAGGUCCAAUUAAGAUAAUGGGGGCAAUGAGGUUGCUUCGGUGACGCGGUGACAUGUCAUUCUAAAUGAUGGGAUAUUUAUCAAAGCCUUAGAAAGGAAAAGAAAAAGAAUUCUGCACACAGAUAAAGGUUGAAAAAGUCUAUUAGCGGCCACGUGGCAGCACAGAGCUGUUAAAAAAUAAUAAUAACAAUAACAAUAACAAUAAUAUUUCAGAGGGGUUUUUGAUUAUGAUGUCAUGAGUUUCUGCUGCCUCACAAAUGGCCAAUUAACAGUAAGGGGCAACUUAUAAGCCUCUUAAAAAAAGGGCAACUUAUAAGAAUCUUAAAGUCAGAGUUAAGUGCAAUUUCUAGAACAUAGGGCGCUAUGAGUAACUAGGAUGAAAUAUCAGCCAAAGAGCUAUAUAUGUAAAAUCACAGCAGGAGCGCUGUGUAAAACUACCCAACAUAUGCACGCAUACUGACCCAAACCAUCCUACCUAGUAUAUCAACAUGUCUUCAACCAUGUCAUUUAUUAUGUUGUCGUAUCUAUUAGAGUUUAAAACUAUUUGCCAAAUAAAUAAUAGUCCAGAUUCAAUGUGCAUAUAAUAUUCAAAUAUCCAUACACGUUGCAAUGCAGAAUAGGGUAACUAUAAGUCCGGAAAAGGGCAAACAGACAACUUUAAUGGAACCCAGUUGAAAAAUGCAUGCAUCAAAAGCCAGCGGAAACUUACCAUGAUUAGGAUAGAAACUUCUACGGUCAUUAGGGCAUGGCACAAAAAGAGCAUUUUGUGGAUUAAAUAAAGCUUCGCAUACCAAGAAAAACCAUUCCCUUUAAACACCGGGACCAGUAGCUUCCUCAUUUUUGAAUUCCAAAAAUAAACCACCACGCAGUGCCUCUGGUUCCGCACGUGCUAUGUACUCAAAUGAUUCUGCCAACAACUGAGACCUAUCAAUAAGCAUCUCACGCAGCUCCUCAUAGUCUUCCUUUACAUCCGGAAACAUCAUCAUGACCAGAUACUUCCUGGAAUCAAAAGUAGUCACGUCCUUAUGCUCAAGCUGAAGGAGAAGAUAACUAUUAAAUUGAAAACUCCAAAAACAGAAAUU
rnacentral:lncRNA from 1 species